rnacentral:pre_miRNA from 1 species
UGACAAUUUUUUGAUACCGAUGACGUGUCAUGUUGUCAUUGGUCGAUUUUUAAGAAAAUGAAAAAAAUAAAUCUUAUUUUCUUAAAAGUCGACCAAUGACAACGUGACACGUCAUCGGUGUAAAAA